rnacentral:rRNA from 1 species
UUCCGGUUGAUCCUGCCGGAGGUUACUGCUAUCGGUGUUCGCCUAAGCCAUGCGAGUCAUAUGUAGCAAUACAUGGCGUACUGCUCAGUAACACGUGGAUAACCUGCCCUUGGGUCCGGCAUAACCCCGGGAAACUGGGGAUAAUUCCGGAUAACGCACAUAUGCUGGAAUGCUUUAUGCGUCAAAUGGAUUCGUCUGCCCAAGGAUGGGUCUGCGGCCUAUCAGGUAGUAGUGGGUGUAAUGUACCUACUAGCCGACAACGGGUACGGGUUGUGAGAGCAAGAGCCCGGAGAUGGAUUCUGAGACAUGAAUCCAGGCCCUACGGGGCGCAGCAGGCGCGAAAACUUUACAAUGCGGGAAACCGUGAUAAGGGGACACCGAGUGUCAGCAUCAUAUGCUGGCUGUCCAGGUGUGUAAAAUACACCUGUUAGCAAGGGCCGGGCAAGACCGGUGCCAGCCGCCGCGGUAACACCGGCGGCCCGAGUGGUGAUCGUGAUUAUUGGGUCUAAAGGGUCCGUAGCCGGUUUGGUCAGUCCUCCGGGAAAUCUGAUAGCUCAACUAUUAGGCUAUCGGGGGAUACUGCCAGGCUUGGAACCGGGAGAGGUAAGAGGUACUACAGGGGUAGGAGUGAAAUCUUGUAAUCCCUGUGGGACCACCUGUGGCGAAGGCGUCUUACCAGAACGGGUUCGACGGUGAGGGACGAAAGCUGGGGGCACGAACCGGAUUAGAUACCCGGGUAGUCCCAGCCGUAAACGAUGC